AGCAGCCGCGGUAAUUCCAGCUCCAAUAGCGUAUAUUAAAGUUGUUGCAGUUAAAAAGCUCGUAGUUGAAUUUCGGGAUCAAGUCGUCGGUCGUGCUCAGGUACGUACUGGCGUCAUUGAUUUCUCCCUUCUGACGAACCAUGAUGUCAUUAAUUUGGUGUUAUGGGAAAUCAGGACUGUUACUUUGAAAAAUUAGAGUGUUUAAAGCAGGCUCACGCUUGAAUACAUUAGCAUGGAAUAAUGAAAUAGGACGUUCGAUCCUAUUUUGUUGGUUUUAGGAUCAACGUAAUGAUUAAUAGGGAUAGUUGGGGGCAUUAGUAUUCAAUUGUCAGAGGUGAAAUUCUUGGAUUUAUUGAAGACUAACUACUGCGAAAGCAUUUGCCAAGGAUGUUUUCAUUAAUCAAGAACGAAAGUUAGGGGAUCGAAGACGAUCAGAUACCGUCGUAGUCUUAACCAUAGAC
rnacentral:rRNA from 1 species